AACGAACGCUGGCGGCAGGCCUAACACAUGCAAGUCGAACGUGAAGCCACCUUCGGGUGGUGGAAAGUGGCAGACGGGUGAGUAACGCGUGGGAACGUGCCUUUCGGUUCGGGAUAACCCAGGGAAACUUGGGCUAAUACCGGAUACGCCCUUCGGGGGAAAGAUUCAUUGCCGAAAGAUCGGCCCGCGUCGGAUUAGCUAGUUGGUGGGGUAAUGGCCUACCAAGGCGACGAUCCGUAGCUGGUCUGAGAGGAUGAUCAGCCACACUGGGACUGAGACACGGCCCAGACUCCUACGGGAGGCAGCAGUGGGGAAUAUUGCACAGUGGGCGAAAGCCUGAUGCAGCCAUGCCGCGUGGGUGAAGAAGGCCUUAGGGUUGUAAACCCCUUUCAGCGGGGAAGAUAAUGACGGUACCCGCAGAAGAAGUCCCGGCUAACUCCGUGCCAGCAGCCGCCGUAACAC
rnacentral:rRNA from 1 species